GCCGCGCGCGAGUUACGUGACGCCACGUGCGUCUGCCAGAGGGCGGCGGGAGCGUGCGCGGCUGCACCCGUGGGUGGCAGUUGAGGUGAGGCUGCUCCUUGGGAUCGUGGCCAUCCAGUGCCAUCAAGGAUCCCAGGCGGUGCCUGCCAUCUACUGAGGCCAGGUGGACGGCCCUCGACUGCUCCGCAGUAGAUGAUCUGUAAGAUGGCCUGGUCAAGGCUUCUAGCAGAUUCGGAUCUCUCUCUUCAGUCCAAGUGCAAAUGCUGAACACACCAGUUUCCUGGAGCUGCCGUCGGGACACUUGUCGGUGAGUCCAUGGUUCUGCAGUCCUAGGAGCGAGGCACUGGCUGCCCUUUGACUUUCUUUUCAAAGAUGUUCAAGUAGACAGCCUGGGUAUGUACGAGGUAGUACUUCCAGAGCAGAGAGCAGGGCUGCCCACUGUCGACUGUAAAAGAUUUGGCUGUCCUGUGCUCAGGGUGCCUUUUCUGUGAUGCAGCCCACUGCAUCGUGAGUGCCUUCUGGCUCCCCUUGUGUCACCCAAUGGGAAAUGGGGCUGGUGGAGAACGCUGGUGCUCUGUUUACCUACUGCUGUGGUGAAUAAUCAACUGUCUUUGCUUUGUGUCUCCUACCAGCUUCCAUGUAACUGAUGGGCUACCUUGUCACGUGCCAUUGCUGGGGGAGUAUGUCAGACCCUUCACAGUUCCUGACAGCACAGCCUCCCAGCCCCCAACAGACUGCCCUGUGUUCCUGCUCUAGCUUCAGCAGCAGAAAUCCCAGGAUGUGAGAGCUAGAAGACACCUGAGAGAUGAUCCCUUCCGUGGAUGACAGGUUCUUCUGGGGACUCUGCAGUGGUUUGGGUGCCGUGUCGUCUGCUUCCAGAACAAGGAUUUUCGCUGUACAUCAGGACCCAGGCCCCUCUGACAUCUCCUGAAUGAGAAACGAGGGGUUUAAUAAAACGGUGUAAAAUUUGUAGUUCA